UACGGUGUGGUCUAGUGGCUAGGAUACCUGGCUUUCACCCAGGAGGCCCGGGUUCGAUUUCCGGUACCGGAA
rnacentral:tRNA from 1 species